UACAGAGGGUGCAAGCGUUAAUCGGAAUUACUGGGCGUAAAGCGUGCGUAGACGGUAGCGUAAGUCGGGUGUGAAAGCCCCGGGCUCAACCUGGGAAUUGCAUUCGAGACUGCUCUGCUAGGGUGCGGAAGAGGGAAGCGGAAUUUCCGGUGUAGCGGUGAAAUGCGUAGAUAUCGGAAGGAACACCAGUGGCGAAGGCGGGUUGCUGGGCUGACACUGACGCUGAAGCGCGAAAGCUAGGGGAGCGAACGGG
rnacentral:rRNA from 1 species